AAAAGAAACACCUAUAUGUGAGACUGGAUUCAGCCACGUAGAUGCCGACAUACGAAUCAGAGGUUACAGUUAAACGGUUGGGUCCAGUUCUAAUCAUGUGCCUUUUUUGAUCCUAUUUUGAUCAUCGGUGACUGAGGGAUUAGGAAUUCAAACCAAACUUUCAUCCGGUGCUGCUUUAAGUUUCACCAAUGGCUCUCAUUCCUCCAAGUCUUUUCGUCCUUCUCCCUAGCUUUCACCUACAGCCCAUGAUCGAUGUUCUUCCUUUACAACUUCUGUACGUAAGCUCUAGAAAUGGCUGCUCUCCUUUACGCCUAUAAAUGGAAAAUAUCUGCAUAAAACUCCAAGAUCUUCUCUGUGCUAGCUGUGGAUACUAUAGAGGGAUAGCUUCCAUUAUUAUGGAAAUCCAGUUUGUAAUAGUGAAACUUCACGACUGCUUUAUAGUGAGUAGACCAUUCUAAAUAGAUGGUUGAUUAUUGGAGUAAAUUUUUGGAAACCUUGCAUUGAGAAUAAAAUGACUAAUUGAAGCUUGAAAUGCGGAGAUUUGAAGCUAGGGGAAGAAGACACGGAGAUUGGAAGAAAAUUGCAAUUCGACUUUUCCGGCGAUUUUUCCGGCAAACUUUUCCUGCGAGCCGCCACUCAUGGUGGGUCUUUUCUCCAGCAAAGGAGGACCAUGGUUGUGAGAUUCUCCCAUCACUUGAAAUUCAAAUAUCUCCCUACACAUUGUCCUUUUGUCACCUUGCCAAUUUGAGACCAUUUGGGGGACAAUGGUGUAAGAGCAUCUCUUGCACACUUUGGGACCAAAGAAGACAUACAAGCUGAUCAAAGAUAGGCCAAAGACUAAUUCUUCAGAAUUCUUGACUCCAUUCAAUCAUCUUCAUCCUAUCCAAGAUCCAUUUUCUCUCUAGAGAAGACACCACCAUUUCCACCACUAAAACCACCAUCUCCACCUCUAAAACCUCCAUUUCCACCACUACAACUGAUGUGCUCAUAUUUUCCUAUAUUUCUUUGCCUCUUAAUCUUAGUAUUUAUGCUUAGUCCUCCUUAUUUCGAGUCAUUUAUGUUGUUAUAGUGUUUUUGUAGGUUUGUCUCAUAAAGAGAAGAAAAGAAGUUAAAAUGAGCUAACUAGGAUUAAAAGACGCCCAGGUCCCAGAAUUUGUCUGUGCAGAACAUCCAACUUCCUCGAAUUACUGGGAGUUACUCAGAUCGAAUCAGACAAUGAGCCUUAUAUCAUUGGAAAGCUACGGAUGUCAACUUUCUGUAGAAUUUUACGGAUCUCGAUUUCGAUUCUUCUAGAGAAAGUUAUGAUUAUUUGAGUGAAAAUAGGUCGGACAGGAAAUCUGCUCGGGAAUUUACAACCAUUCGUGGAGAACUCAAGUUCCGUGGCACAAGAUCAUCAAUCCUAAUGUUUUAAGGAAGUUAAUUAAGAUGAGGAUUCAAUGAUGAACUUAUUCCUACUUCUACAAGAGAUAUUUCAAGGUUUUCCCAUUCCAAAUGAAGCCAAAGAUGAGCAGAAAUCUUCCCUAUAUAAGGGAGCACGAAUUUACAUGAGAGGGAGUCUCGGAGCACAAUGUAGACGCCUAAGGAGCAGAGACGACUCAUCCAUCUUCCCUUUCUUUUCCCUUCCAUUCUUUUUAUGUUUUUUUUCCUAUGUUUUAAUUAAAUAUAUUUUGCAAAACCUUUUUCUAGGGUUAGGAUGAUGCCCUAUCAUGAUUGUUUAUGUACUUUGAUGGAUUUAUAGUUUCUUUAUGAUGAAUGCUUAAUCACUAUUUGAA